CAAAGCGGGGGACCUUCGGGCCUCGUGCCAAGAGAGGAGCUUACGUCGGAUUAGCUAGUUGGUUAGGUAAAGGCUGACCAAGGCGACGAUCCGUAGCUGGUCUGAGAGGACGAUCAGCCACACUGGGACUGAGACCCGGCCCAGACUCCUUCGGGAGGCAGCAGUGGGGAAUUCUGGACAAUGGGGGCAACCCUGAUCCAGCAAUACCGCGUGUGUGAAGAAGGCCUACGGGUUGUAAAGCUCUUUAGGUGUGGAGGAAGGCAUUGAGGUUAAUAACCUGAGUGAUUGACGGUCCCCACAGAAUAAGCACCGGCUAACUCUGUGCCAGCAGCCGCGGUAAUACAGAGGGUGCAAGCGUUAAUCGGAAUUACUGGGCGUAAAGCGCAUGUAGGUGGAAGAAUAAGUUUGAUGUGAAAGCCCUGGGCUUAACCUGGGAAUGGCGUUGAAGACUGUUCAUCUAGAGUCAGACAGAGGGUCGUAGAAUUUCCGGUGUAGCGGUGAAAUGCGUAGAGAUCGGAAAGAAUACCAGUGGCGAAGGCGGCGACCUGGGUCCAGACUGACACUGAGGUGCGAAAGCGUGGGGAGCAAACAGGAUUAGAUACCCUGGUAGUCCACGCUGUAAACGAUGAGAACUGGACGUGCGGUGGCUUUAGCUGCUGCGUAUCGAAGCUAACGCGUUAAGUUCUCCGCCUGGGGAGUACGGUCGCAAGAUUAAAACUCAAAGG
rnacentral:rRNA from 1 species